AACCAGCACCUCAAGUGGUCAGGAUGAUUAUUGGGCCUAAAGCAUCCGUAGCCGGCUCUGUAAGUUUUCGGUUAAAUCUGUACGCUCAACGUACAGGCUGCCGGGAAUACUGCAGAGCUAGGGAGUGGGAGAGGUAGACGGUACUCGGUAGGAAGGGGUAAAAUCCUUUGAUCUAUUGAUGACCACCUGUGGCGAAGGCGGUCUACCAGAACACGUCCGACGGUGAGGGAUGAAAGCUGGGGGAGCGAACAGG
rnacentral:rRNA from 1 species